rnacentral:rRNA from 1 species
AUUGAACGCUGGCGGCAUGCCUUACACAUGCAAGUCGAACGGCGGCACGGGUGCUUGCACCUGGUGGCGAGUGGCGAACGGGUGAGUAAUACAUCGGAACGUACCUUAUCGUGGGGGAUAACGCAGCGAAAGCUGUGCUAAUACCGCAUACGCCCUGGGGGGGAAAGCGGGGGAUCGAAAGACCUCGCGCGAUUAGAGCGGCCGAUGCCUGAUUAGCUUGUUGGUGGGGUAAAGGCCCACCAAGGCGACGAUCAGUAGCGGGUCUGAGAGGACGAUCAGCCACACUGGGACUGAGACACGCCCCAGACUCCUACGGGAGGCAGCAGGGGGGAAUUUGGGAAAAGGGGGGCACCCCUGAUCCAGCAAUGCCGCGUGAGUGAAGAAGGCCUUCGGGUUGUAAAGCUCUUUUGUCAGGAAAGAAACACCGGCUCUAACACAGUCCGGGAAUGACGGUACCUGAAGAAUAAGCACCGGCUAACUACGUGCCAGCCGCCGCCGUAA